rnacentral:rRNA from 1 species
UACGUAGGGGGCAAGCGUUGUCCGGAAUCAUUGGGCGUAAAGAGCGUGUAGGCGGCUCGGUAAGUCCGCUGUGAAAGUCCAGGGCUCAACCCUGGGAUGCCGGUGGAUACUGUCGGGCUCGAGUCCGGAAGAGGCGAGUGGAAUUCCUGGUGUAGCGGUGAAAUGCGCAGAUAUCAGGAGGAACACCAAUGGCGAAGGCAGCUCGCUGGGACGUGACUGACGCUGAGACGCGAAAGCGUGGGGAGCAAACAGG